CAUCCAGGCCUAUCCGUCAUGCUGGGAGGAUUUGGGGAUAGGGGCUGCGGAGGUAAGGGUCGCCAAUGGUUGGGAUGCCUGCUGCCCCAGCGUGAUGCCCACCAAUCUGGCUCGGUUGCUAGAUUUUUAUCCUCUCUCCAGAUAGCGUGCUCUCAAAUUGAAGCACGGUGGGCCCUGCAAAAAUAAAUUACAAUAACCAUCCGUGUCUUCUUUUUAUGCAUCAGUUAAAAGUCUAACUAUAUUGCAAAAUUGAUACAGCGUGUUUUUUACGUUGUUGCUUCUGCAGGUUCUGAAAGUUGCCUUCAUGGAUCUAGAGUUUCUAAUGUGUGACUUUCCAGUUCUCAGACCAACAUGAUCCACCAGGGCAUCCCUGCUGGUGCCAUGGGAGAGGCCAGAUUGCCGGGUUGUCGGUCCAGUAGAUCGCUCCGGAGGACAGGUCAGAAUUCAGAAAGAGGGGCCAUUGUGUUCCUGCGUUGAGGCAGGUUUCCAUCUGAUGUGAUCAACCAAUCAUUGCAUCUUAUUCAGAGAGGUCUCUCAUUUAGUAUGGUACUAUUUUCUUUUCUGGUUCUUUAAA